CCCAAAUUCAAACCAAACAUUCCCCUCUCUCUCUCGCGCUCUCUCUCUCUCUCUCUCUCUCACAGCGCUCCGUCGAUCCCGCGCCUCCAACCAAGGACCUCAGCUCCGGAAUUGUCAAAUAGCCUUAAAGAACCGAUUGGAAUCGUCAAAUAUCCUUAAAGAACCGAUUUUGAUUUGCCUUUGCAAGUUCAUAGCAUCUGCACGCACAUUGCUACCACCAGAGUAUGUCCAAGAAUUUCAGAACUGUUUUGAUAGAGCUCCUGCAGUUCCUUUUGAAGACAUUCAAAGCAUUUUGCAUUUUGAAUAUGUUGACUCGACUCCUAUUGCUUCAGCUUCGAUAGCAUAGGUUCUUGGUGCAAGGCUUAGAGGCUCCCAACAGGAUAUAUUGGUGGCAGAUCUGAAUUUUGUUUACAUUGUUGCUUCGCAUAUUGGAGUUUUUGAAUCCUGAAUUCAGCCAUGCAUCACUGGCAAGAACUGUGUACGUAUGCAGUUGACAGUUCAUCAAAGGCAUUAUUAGGCCCACUACAUUUUUCUUGGGAUGUAGAUGAACACCGUCAGGGUGAAAAUGAAUCAGACAACUUAAUUGAAGAUUAAAAGAACGUCUGCAUUUGCCUCAUGAGGAAGAUGAAACUUCUUCCAAGUGAAGAUGAGCCAAAGCAAAAACUUAAUCGAA